rnacentral:rRNA from 1 species
CUAGCGACAGGCUUAACACAUGCAAGUCGAGGGGCAGCAUGAUUUGUAGCAAUACAGAUUGAUGGCGACCGGCGCACGGGUGAGUAACGCGUAUGCAACUUACCUAUCAGAGGGGGAUAGCCCGGCGAAAGUCGGAUUAAUACCCCAUAAAACAGGGGUCCCGCAUGGGAAUAUUUGUUAAAGAUUCAUCGCUGAUAGAUAGGCAUGCGUUCCAUUAGGCAGUUGGCGGGGUAACGGCCCACCAAACCGACGAUGGAUAGGGGUUCUGAGAGGAAGGUCCCCCACAUUGGUACUGAGACACGGACCAAACUCCUACGGGAGGCAGCAGUGAGGAAUAUUGGUCAAUGGCCGAGAGGCUGAACCAGCCAAGUCGCGUGAAGGAAGAAGGAUCUAUGGUUUGUAAACUUCUUUUAUAGGGGAAUAAAGUGGAGGACGUGUCCUUUUUUGUAUGUACCCUAUGAAUAAGCAUCGGCUAACUCCGUGCCAGCAGCCGCGGUAAUACGGAGGAUGCGAGCGUUAUCCGGAUUUAUUGGGUUUAAAGGGUGCGUAGGUGGUGAUUUAAGUCAGCGGUGAAAGUUUGUGGCUCAACCAUAAAAUUGCCGUUGAAACUGGGUUACUUGAGUGUGUUUGAGGUAGGCGGAAUGCGUGGUGUAGCGGUGAAAUGCAUAGAUAUCACGCAGAACUC